AAAUUUUAUAUUUUUUCGAUAUAGUUUAUUUUAUGAUCAAAUUAUUUCAAAAUUGUCAAUUUUCAAUGAUUAUUAUGACGAGUUUGUAGUUUAACGGUGUAGAAGAAUCUAAAUUUAUUUAAAUUUUGAUAGAAAAUAUGUUAAACUAUUUAGAUUAAAUUAGCAUUUUUUAUCUUGAAUUCAAAAGUUUUAUUCUCAAAUCCUAAAGAUUGCUUAAUUUUCACUGUUCAUUUUGGCAUAAUUUAUUUACGAAGUAAACGAUAUCGAAAGAAAUUAAAAUUUUAUUCCUAAAAACUUCAUAUAGCUUAGAUCAUAUUUGACGGUGUGGAUCGUUCAUUUGAAUACCCUAAGAUAAAAAACGAGACUAUAGUACCGAAACUUUGGUACUAUAUAUAGUAUAUUACUCUCAUUCUAUAUAUAUAUAUAUGAGCAGGGCUGCUGUGCUCUCAGGAGCACGGAGGCCUUCGUGCUCCUGAGCCGUUUUCGAUGAUGAAAAUUUCGAAUCGACGAUCGGCUCCGUUAGACUUGAUCUAGCGCAUUUGAAGUUUCUAGAAAAUAAUUUUUGCGAUUUUUCGAUAUCAUUUACCUAGUGAUCGAAAGGAUUCAAAAUCCAUAAUUUUUAAUGGUUGAUAUUUGCCGUUUUCAAGUNAAUCUUAAAAUUAAUAUUUGUUUUUUAAAAUUUUAAAUUUUAAAUUUUAAAAAUUUAUAAUUUAUAAUUUUUAAAAAAUUAAUAUUUUAUAUUUAAAUUUUUAAAUUUGAGAUUUAAAAAUAUAGAUUUUAAUUUUGAAUUUUUUAAUUUUAAAAGUUAUUUAUUUAAAUUUAAAAUUUUAAAUAUAAAAUAAAAAAUUAAAUUCAAAUAUAAUAAUUGAGUUAAAAUUAUUAUUUUCUAUUUAUAACUAUUCACUAUCCUUCUUAUUUCACUUACUCCAAUCAAACACUAUUUUUUUUAUAUCUGGACUAAAUCCAAUUCUCAAUCAAACACAAAAUUACUCUAAUCCUAUUUUAACCCUAAACUUAACCUUAUUUCAGGAAUAACUAGUUUUUACUCAACCCCGAAUCAAACGAAGCCGAAAGGAUUAUGUAUAAUCCUUGUUGGAUUAUCCGAAGCAAACAGUAGUUAAUUAGCUCAUGUUUCACGGCAAUUAAUUAGCUGUGCAGCUACACAUAAAUUGCUACUUGGUCCAAGUCCACUGCUCAUGCGUAAUUGGUGGCUUUUUUAUAAUCUCGCUUAGCUCGAUUCCCGUAAUUGGUGGCUUUUUUAUAAUCUCGCUUAGCUCAGUUCCCGUAAUUGGUGGCUUUUUUAUAAUCUCGCUUAGCUCGAUUCUGACUCUUUUGUUCCUUUUGCGCAAACCAAAGUUUCUCUUAUUAGACUAUGGUUUCUCUAUUAUCGAAACAGUACGGGCCCUAUCUACGGAAAUGGUCUAAGAAUCUGAUAUUUGGUAUCCCACGUUACAAAUUCGAACCUUAAUUAUUUUAUAUUUUUAAUUAAAUUUAUUUGUAAAAAAAUAAAUAAAACGGCUAGUAUGUUUGAAAUAUUUUCUCACAUUAGAUGCAUGUGUAGAGGUACUAUGUUAUUGAAAAUAUAAAGUAGUUGAUGCUUUCGAUUUUUUAGUCCUUGGAUUAAACAUUCUAUGGUUAGAAUAAUAACGGUCCCCUUAAGGUUGAGUGGUUCUCCUAAAAUUGAGUGGUCCCUAUUGAUUAAUAAUAUUAAUACAAUGAUUAGAAAUGAUCAAUUGAGUUGAUCUAAAGGCUUAAAAAUCGGAAGCACCAACUACUUUAUACUUCUGAUAGUAUAGUAACUCUACUCUUAGAUGCAUAUCAAAAUUCCAAAUACUUUUAAUAUAUAUAUAUAUAUAUAUAUAUAUAUAUAUAUAUAUAGAGUGAGGCUACUAUACUAUCGGAAGCACGGAGUCUUCCGUGCUUCCAGCUCGUUUUCGAUGUUGCGACUUUCGAAUCGUCGAUCGGCUCCGUUAAACUUGAUCUAGAGUAUUUGAAGUACCUAGAAAAUAAAUUUUAUGAUUUUAUGAUAUCAUUUGCCUAGUGAACGAAGGGGCUCAAAAUCAACGGCUGAAAAUAAAAAUCUUACAAAAUGUAAUAAUAUGACAUUAAAAUUUUAAAUCAAAGAUAUUGAUCUUGUUUUAUAUAGUAUAAAGAAUUUUCUAUUAAAAUUUCACGGAUUUGGAUAUUUCUACACCGUAAACUUGCAAACGGCUCACUACGGCCUUUGAAAUUUGUUGAUUUUGAGCCCAUUCGAUCACAAGGCAAAUGAUAUCGAAAAUAAAAAAUUUAUUUUCUAGGUACUCCAAAUACUCUAGAUCAAGUUUAACGGAGUCGAUCGACGAUUCGAAAGUGCAACAUCGAAAACAAGCUGGAAGCAUGGAAGGCUCCGUGCUUCCGAUAGCAUAGUAGCUCACUCUAUAUAUAUAUAUAUAUAGAGAGAGAGAGAGAGGAGAGAGAGAGAGCUAUUAUAAUAUCUAUAACACUAGAACUCCAAUAUUAUAGUCUUAUUUUUGAUUUUAGAGUGUUCAAAUCAACGAUCUACACCAUUAAAACUGAUUUAGAAUAUUUAAAAUUUUUAGAAAUAAAAUUUUAUAUUUUUUCGAUAUAGUUUAUUUUAUGAUCAAAUUAUUUCAAAAUUGUCAAUUUUCAAUGAUUAUUAUGACGAGUUUGUAGUUUAACGGUGUGUAGAAGAAUCUAAAUUUAUUUAAAUUUUGAUAGAAAAUAUGUUAAACUAUUUAGAUUAAAUUAGCAUUUUUUAUCUUGAAUUCAAAAGUUUUAUUCUCAAAUCCUAAAGAUUGCUUAAUUUUCACUGUUCAUUUUGGCAUAAUUUAUUUACGAAGUAAACGAUAUCGAAAGAAAUUAAAAUUUUAUUCCUUAAAACUUCAUAUAGCUUAGAUCAUAUUUGACGGUGUGGAUCGUUCAUUUGAAUACCUAAGAUAAAAAACGAGUAUAGUACCGAAACUUUGUACUAUUAUAUAUAUAUUACUCUCAUUCUAUAUAUAUAUAUAUGAGCAGGGCUGCUGUGCUCUCAGGAGCACGGAGGCCUUCGUGCUCCUGAGCUUUUCGAUGAUGAAAAUUUCGAAUCGACGAUCGGCUCCGUUAGACUUGAUCUAGCGCAUUUGAAGUUUCUAGAAAAAUUUUUGCGAUUUUUCGAUAUCAUUUACCUAGUGAUCGAAAGGAUUCAAAAUCCAUAAUUUUUAAUGGUUGAUAUUUGCCGUUUUCAAGUUUAACGGUGUAGAAUUAUUCAAAUCAGAUGAAAUUUUGAUAGAAAAUUCUUUAUACUAUCUACAACAAGAUCUAUAUUUCUGAUCGAAAAUUUUAGUGCUAUAUCACUACUUUUAUAGUAUUUUUAUUUUCAGCCGUUAAAAAUUAUUGAUUUUGAAUCCUUUCGAUUGCUAGGUGAAUGAUAUCGAAAAAUCGCAAAAAUUAUUUUAUAGAAACUUUAAAUACGCUAGAUCAAGUUUAACGGAGCGAUCGUCGAUU
rnacentral:lncRNA from 1 species